rfam:Spinacia oleracea cultivar SynViroflay scaffold25387.con0009.1, whole genome shotgun sequence.
CGGUUUUUAACGGUUGUGGCCCGCAACGGGUCCGGCGCUCAAAACUCUCUCCGGUUCUCCCGGUGCGCACUUGAGGGCUCGCAGGUGUUUCCUCCCUCGCCUGCAUGCUGCGUACCCGCCUCGCCCCGCUCCCCGCUACCUGGUGAGCGGGGCUUUUU